CUUACACAUGCAAGUCGAACGAGAACGGGCUUCGGCCCUAGUAAAGUGGCGCACGGGUGAGUAACGCGUGGGUAAUCUACCCUUAGGCGGGGGAUAACACUUCGAAAGAGGUGCUAAUACCGCAUAAGACCACGGUCUUAGAGGUUUCGGCCUUGGGGGCUGUGGGAAAAGAUGGGGGUCUUCGGACCUGCCACCUGGGGAUGAGCCCGCGUACCAUUAGCUUGUUGGUGGGGUAAUGGCCUACCAAGGCUUCGAUGGUUAGCUGGUCUGAGAGGAUGAUCAGCCACACUGGGACUGAGACACGGCCCAGACUCCUACGGGAGGCAGCAGUGGGGAAUAUUGCGCAAUGGGGGAAACCCUGACGCAGCAACGCCGCGUGUGUGAUGAAGGCUCUCGGGUCGUAAAGCACUGUCGGAAGGAACGAGCCGGGCGUGGUCAAUAUCCCACGUCCCCGACGGUACCUACCGAGGAAGCACCGGCUAACUCCGUGCCAGCAGCCGCGGUAAUACGGAGGGUGCAAGCGUUGUUCGGAAUUAUUGGGCGUAAAGCGCGCGCAGGCUGAUCGUUAAGUCUGAUGUGAAAGCCCUCGGCUCAACCGAGGAACUGCAUUGGAUACUGGCGGUCUUGAAUCCUGGAGAGGGUGGCGGAAUUCCCAGUGUAGAGGUGAAAUUCGUAGAUAUUGGGAGGAACACCGGCGGCGAAGGCGGCCACCUGGACAGUGAUUGACGCUGAGGCGCGAAAGCGUGGGUAGCAAACAGGAUUAGAUACCCUGGUAGUCCACGCCGUAAACGAUGGGUACUAGUUGGUGCGGGUAUUGACCCCUGCGCUGACGCAGCUAACGCAUUAAGUACCCCGCCUGGGGAGUACGGCCGCAAGGCUAAAACUCAAAGGAAUUGACGGGGGCCCGCACAAGCGGUGGAGCAUGUGGAUUAAUUCGACGCAACGCGAAGAACCUUACCAGGCCUUGACAUCCCGAUCGCACCCCUUGGCAACUUGGGGGUCAGCUUGGCUGGAUCGGUGACAGGUGCUGCAUGGCUGUCGUCAGCUCGUGUCGUGAGAUGUUGGGUUAAGUCCCGCAACGAGCGCAACCCUUGCCUUUAGUUGCCAGCAUUUAGUUGGGCACUCUAGAGGGACUGCCGGUGUCAAGCCGGAGGAAGGUGGGGAUGACGUCAAGUCCUCAUGGCCCUUACGGCCAGGGCUUCACACGUGCUACAAUGGCCGGCACAAAGGGUCGCGAAGCCGCGAGGUGGAGCCAAUCCCAAAAAUCCGGUCUCAGUUCGGAUUGGAGUCUGCAACUCGACUCCAUGAAGUUGGAAUCGCUAAUAAUCGUAGAUCAGCAUGCCACGGUGAUACGUUCCCGGGCAUUGUACACACCGCCCGUCACACCAUGGGAGUUGGUUGGACCAGAAGUCGCCGCGCCAACCCUUCGGGGAGCACGCGCCCAAGGUCUG
rnacentral:rRNA from 1 species